AUCUCCACACUGGCAUCUUGU
rnacentral:miRNA from 1 species